rnacentral:snRNA from 1 species
UUGAGCAGAAGUAAUGGCAGA